AUCCUUUUGUAGUUUAUAAUCAUGAUGAUUGGGUUUUCAUGUGCAUGAGUGCGAUGUGCCUACCACAAAUCUUGUUACAAUGUCGGCACAUUACUCAUCUGACA